rnacentral:rRNA from 1 species
GUCCACGCCCUAAACGAUGUCUACUAGUUGUCGGGUCUUAAUUGACUUGGUAACGCAGCUAACGCGUGAAGUAGACCGCCUGGGGAGUACGGUCGCAAGAUUAAAACUCAAAGGAAUUGACGGGGACCCGCACAAGCGGUGGAUGAUGUGGAUUAAUUCGAUGCAACGCGAAAACCUUACCUACCCUUGACAUGGCUGGAAUCCCCGAGAGAUUGGGGAGUGCUCGAAAGAGAACCAGUACACAGGUGCUGCAUGGCUGUCGU